rnacentral:rRNA from 1 species
UACGUAGGGGGCUAGCGUUGUCCGGAUUUAUUGGGCGUAAAGAGCGUGUAGGCGGCCAGGUAGGUCUGGUGUGAAAACUCGAGGCUUAACCUCGAGAUGUCAUCGGAAACCAUCUGGCUAGAGUCCGGAAGAGGAGAGUGGAAUUCCUGGUGUAGCGGUGAAAUGCGCAGAUAUCAGGAAGAACACCAAUGGCGAAAGCAGCUCUCUGGGACGGUACUGACGCUGAGGAGCGAAAGCAUGGGGAGCAAACAGG